rnacentral:rRNA from 1 species
GAUGAACGCUGGCGGCGUGCUUAACACAUGCAAGUCGAACGGAAAGGCCGUAGCUUGCUUCGGUACUCGAGUGGCGAACGGGUGAGUAACACGUGGGUGAUCUGCCCUGUACUUCGGGAUAAGCUUGGGAAACUGGGUCUAAUACCGGAUAUGACGACCUGCUGGAUGGGGUUGUGGAGAGCUUUUGCGGUGUGGGGUGAGCUCGCGGCGUAUCAGCGUGUUGGGGGGGUAAUGGCCUACCAAGGCGUCGACGGGUAGCCGGGCUGUGAGGGGGUACGGGGACACUGGGGCUGUGAUACAGGCCAGAGUCUGACAGGGGGCAGAAGAGGGGAAUAUUGUGCAAUGGGGGCGGGAGUGAUGCAGAGACACCGCGUGGGGGAGGACGGCGUUCGGGGUGUAUACUCCUUUCGCGCUCGUCGAGGCCUUUUGGUGACGGUAGGUGGAGAAGAAGCACCGGCUAACUACGUG